rnacentral:tRNA from 1 species
GGGCGGUUAGCUCAGCUGGGAGAGCGCCAUCCUCACACGAUGGAGGUCGGCGGUUCGAGUCCGCCACCGCCCACCA